UACGUAGGGUGCGAGCGUUAAUCGGAAUUACUGGGCGUAAAGCGUGCGCAGGCGGUUCGUUGUGUCGGCGGUGAAAGCCCCGGGCUUAACCUGGGAAUGGCCGUUGAAACUGGCGAACUGGAGUGUGGCAGAGGGGGGUGGAAUUCCGCGUGUAGCCGUGAAAUGCGUAGAGAUGCGGAGGAACACCGAUGGCGAAGGCAGCCCCCUGGGCUAACACUGACGCUCAGGCACGAAAGCGUGGGGAGCAAACAGG
rnacentral:rRNA from 1 species